rnacentral:rRNA from 1 species
CCUACGGGUGGCAGCAGUGGGGAAUAUUGGGCAAUGGAGGCAACUCUGACCCAGCAACGCCGCGUGAGCGAUGACGGUCUUCGGAUUGUAAAGCUCUUUAAGCGGGGACGAAGAAAGUCACUGUACCCGCAGAAUAAGCCUCCGCUAACUACGUGCCAGCAGCCGCGGUAAUGCGUAGGAGGCAAGCGUUAUCCGGUAUGACUGGGCGGAAAGGGUGCGGAGGUGGUUUGGCAAGUUGGUAGCGUAAUCCCGGGGCUCAACCUGGGUGCGAUUACCAAAACGGUUGAACGUGAGUGAAGGAGGGGUGAAUGGAAUUCCCAGUGUAGCGGGGGAAUGCGUAGAUAUUGGGAAGAACACCAGCGGCGAAGGCGAUUCACUGGACUGUAACUGACACUGAGGCACGAAAGCGUGGGGAGCAAACAGGAUUAGAUACCCGGGUAGUC